AACCUAGCACACCUGCGGUGUGUACCUGCGGAAGGAUCAUUACCGAGUUUACAACUCCCAAACCCAUGUGAACAUACCUAUCGUUGCUUCGGCGGAUCGCCCCGGGCGCCUUGCGUGCCCCGGAUCCAGGCGGCCGCCGGGGGACCUUAACUCUUGUUUUUACUGAGAAUCUUCUGAGUCGUUUUUACAAAUAAAUAAAAACUUUCAACAAUGGAUCU
rnacentral:misc_RNA from 1 species